UUCCUGAUUCUUUGCGAUUUCGGAAAGU
rnacentral:sRNA from 1 species